ACAAGGGUAAACACUGCUGCUAAUGUUUGACUAAAAGCUAACUGAGGGCUCUAAGUGACUCCAGUUAAUCUACAGAUCACGCCAGUAACAGCCCCAGGGGACUGGGGCUGCUGAAGGAUGAAAGAGUGUGCUGGGAUCAAGACUUAAGUGCUCCUGUGAGGUCUUCACUGAAGUCCUUGAAGGAACUGGGUCUUGCUGGAGGAAAGAGAAUGACCCAGAUGUGGGAAGGUUGCUCUAGCCCAAUAGAAAACCAGCAAGUUCAUUUAAAAAGGUAUCUUUCAAUUAUGAAAAUUGGCAGGCAUCAAGGGACACUUGGCAGUUGAACUUUGCAAAAACAUUUGCACUGGCGCUGAAGAGGACCUUCUCUUUUGCUGGACUUUCUCUUUUGCUGGUUUCAUAAAAAAAAAAAAAUGAAAUAUUUUACAGUUUCACCUCAUUUCCUCUCUCCUUUUUCCACAAAAACAAAAGGUGAUUUUUCAAGGCCCCUAUAUCAGCAUUAUUUGACAUCCUCCUAUGAGCUUGACCAAAUAACUGACCCAAUCACUCAGGAAGAAAAUCGAAAAUAUGUCGUGAUUUUUAACUUCUCACCCCCCCCAAAUCGUGUCUUUAAUGGCAAAUUGUCUCUUUUUCCAUUUCUUUAUUCCUCCUACCCCAUGGGCAAAACACUGCUGCUAUAAAAAUAAAAAUAGUGAAAUUCCAGUCUUGACUAAAUUUGGGAAUUCUUACACACAUGAAAAAAAUCUUUGUUUCUGUUUGUGGAAAUUGGCAAAGUGAAAAUGGACAGCUUAGCUCUUCUCACGUUGGCACUUAGAUUUACUGCAGAAGUUGAAUUUUUAAAAGAUUGUAAACAUAAUUAUAGGGGGAAAAACGUGGUUUAUGUUUAUCUCCACACCAAAUGCCCUGUAUAGAGAUCUUUAUAACCAAUCUGCAGGAUUCCUUCCUUUCUGGGCAAGGAAGUAGCUUUGUGAGACUGGAGGCCUGUCCUCAGUGCCCCUUGCAUGAAGACACUGUCUACUGUUGCUUAGCUCAUCGGGGUUAAUGGAGAGUAAGGAAGCCUCAGACUGCCACAUGACUGGACGAUCAAGUGCAUCCUUGAACUUCUGCUAAGACAUCAACAAAACCCUCAUGUCGGCCAACUUUGGGGACUCUGUUUUAUAUCGGUCUCUGAUAUAAACUAACUCUGGCUCAUUUUAUCCGUACCAUUCAACAUGCUGAGUGCUGCAAGUCCCACUCUGUAAUUUGUGUGUACAUUUGUAUCCAUGUUUUCUUCUGCAGUGUUUAUCCUUAACAGAAUAAAAUAGUUGUUCUAAAUCUACAACAUUUCUGCAGAAGCAUAGCUAUAACACUGAUGAAAAGAGGACCUAUGACCCACUCACAUGUUAAACCCCCAAAUUAAAUCUCUUCUUUCCUAUACAUCUCGGUUUUGUGAUUUUGUUUCUAAUAUCUACAUUAGAAAAAAGUAUAACUGCCUGCUGGAGUUUUGGUGAAGAUUUUGGCCCCACCUUUAAGAAAUGGAGGGAAUGUCUAGCAUUCUUCAUGGAAAUAUGCCUGUGAGGAGCAUUAGCUCCUGUUAUAUAGGGAGAAUAGCUAGCUGGUAGAGGUCUCGGGAGAAAUCUUGCCUAUUGCUAUUGAAGAGGCCAAGCCAUCUUGAUUUACCAUUUCAUGUCCCACUUCCCCUCCCACCUCUAGCCUCUCCCUUCUUAUGGUCGGAAGAAUAAUGGCCCCUCAAAGCUGUCCGGGUCCUAAUCCCCAGAACCUAUGAAUAUAUUACCUUACAAGGUAAAAGGAAUUUUGCAUAUGUUAUUAAGUUAAGGAUCUUGGAAUAGGGCCAUUAUCCAAGAUUAUCCAGGGGGCCCAAUGUCCUUGAAAGAGGAAUGCAGGAAGGUCGUACAGCGUGACAAGAGAAGCAGAGAUUGAAGUGAUGCAGAAUGAGCGUUUCACUGAUACUACUCAUUUAGAAGCAAAUUAACUUCAGAAAUGUAAAAGUAAUGAUGAAAUUUCUUGCACAAGUCAUGUUCAGUGCAAGGUUCUCAAAAUCUUUCACAAUAGACUAUUAUUAGAACUCUUGAUAUUUAUGCUCAUUUUCUAACUUUCAGUCUAGAAGACAAUAUUCUGUCCUCCUUGGAGAAUUCUGAAUGGUGCCUGCAGGAGUGGAGGCUGGCCUGAUGUUCAUCUUUCUUAUUUCCUGUUUUUCUAUGUUUAUUACUUGUAAAAAGCAUUCCUUGUAUGUGGGCCAUUAAGGGACUUCCAGCACUAAAGCAGGAACGUCCCUGGCAAAUUGGGGCAAGCUGGUCACCCUGAGUAGAAGACAGAGUGUGGACUUCUUUGAGGAGCAGAGAAAAAUGAUUUGAAAUGGCAAUUUCAGAACUUCCCAUAUUUACUAUAAUUUCAAGAGAAAGCUGACAUUUCUGAGUCCUUCCUGAGAGUAAUCCAGGAUACUUUUUAAUCUUUCAGAGUUACAAAAGGUGUUCCAUUUUCCAUGGUUUUCCUUCUUUACCUUCACGUCCAGGCUAGAGGAGCACUGGGUAUGUAAGACAAUGGGAGAAACUGCAGGUCAGAAAGCCAGCAGUAAGCUCUUGACUAAUGGAAGCCAUGUGUCCCUGGCAGGAAAGGUACUUCCAGGGGCUCCAUUAGAUGGUCACUGCCUGUCCACAGCAGCCAGCGCCUUCAUGACAGCAUGCCCUCAAGAGUUUUCUAAAUAGGAGCUUUCCAAAAACAACACCACAAAGUGCAUCCCUCUUCUCUUAGUGAUGGUCUGUGGAGUGGCCAAGGGUAGACUUGGGUAGCAAGAGUAUAAUCACAUUUUAUUUUUGGAAACAAAAAGCAUGUCUACUUAUUGGCAGCUAAAAUGCUGGCAUAGGCCAGAGAGAAAAGUUUAGAUUACAUGGCUUUCCAAUGCCCUUGUUUAUGUAAACCAACCCCUGGGGCAAUGGCUUUGGCAAAUCUCUCAGUAGUUGCCUUUGAGGAAAUCUACCAGAAGUCCUAUUCUUUUGUUUUGAAAUGUGGAUAUCAGUUGUAAAAAAAUGAAACAAAACUCAAUGAAAUAAAACAAUCCUUUCAGUGA